UACGUAGGGAGCGAGCGUUGUCCGGAUUCAUUGGGCGUAAAGAGCUCGUAGGCGGCUUGGCAAGUCGGGUGUGAAAACUCCAGGCUCAACCUGGAGACGCCACCCGAUACUGCCAUGGCUAGAGUCCGGUAGGGGACCACGGGAAUUCCUGGUGUAGCGGUGAAAUGCGCAGAUAUCAGGAGGAACACCAAUGGCGAAGGCGGCAUCCUGGACCGGCAUUGACGCUGAGGCGCGAAAGCCAGGGGAGCAAACGGG
rnacentral:rRNA from 1 species